rnacentral:rRNA from 1 species
GCACAAGCAGUGGAGUCUGUGGUUUAAUUCGAAGCAACGCGAAGAACCUUACCAGGUCUUGGCAUCCAACUAACGAAGUAGAGAUACAUUAGGUGCCCUUCGGGGAAAGUUGAGACAGGUGGUGCAUGGUUGUCGUCAGCUCGUGUCGUGAGAUGUUGGGUUAAGUCCCGCAACGAGCGCAACCCUUGCUAUUAGUUGCUACGCAAGAGCACUCUAAUAGGACUGCCGUUGACAAAA